CAGUAACGGCGAGUGAAGCGGCAACAGCUCAAAUUUGAAAUCUGGCUCCUUCGGGGUCCGAAUUGUAAUUUGUAGAGAGUGCUUCGGGCGAGACCGCGGUCUAAGUCCAUUGGAACAUGGUGUCAUAGAGGGUGAGAAUCCCGUAUGCGACCGUGGCUCGAGCCCAUGUGAAGCCUCUUCGACGAGUCGAGUUGUUUGGGAAUGCAGCUCAAAAUGGGUGGUAAAUUUCAUCUAAAGCUAAAUACUGGCUGGAGACCGAUAGCGCACAAGUAGAGUGAUCGAAAGAUGAAAAGCACUUUGGAAAGAGAGUCAAACAGUACGUGAAAUUGUUGAAAGGGAAGCGCUUGCAACCAGACCUGCCCGUAGGCGAUCAGCCGCUGUUCUCAGCGGUGUACUCGCUCUGCGAUCAGGCCAGCAUCGGUUUCGGCGGUCGGAUAAAGGCCUUGGGAAUGUAGCUUCCCUUCGGGGGAGUCUUAUAGCCCUCGGUGCAAUGCGGCCAGCCGGGACCGAGGACCGCGCUUCGGCUAGGAUGCUGGCGUAAUGGUUGUAAGCGACCCGUCUUGAAACACGGACCAAGGAGUCUAACAUCUAUGCGAGUGUUUGGGUGUCAAACCCAUACGCGGAAUGAAAGUGAACGGAGGUGAGAACCCUUAAGGGCGCAUCAUCGACCGAUCCAGAUGUCUUCGGAUGGAUUUGAGUAUGAGCAUAGCUGUUGGGACCCGAAAGAUGGUGAACUAUGCCUGAAUAGGGUGAAGCCAGAGGAAACUCUGGUGGAGGCUCGCAGCGGUUCUGACGUGCAAAUCGAUCGUCAAAUUUGGGUAUAGGGGCGAAAGACUAAUC
rnacentral:rRNA from 2 species